CUAACAGAUGUAGUUCGAUAACUCUGUUUUAUAUUUCAACUUAUUAAGGAUGAGCUUAGUAAGAAAUAUGGGAAAAAAUAUAAUUUUAUUGGAUUAUUUAGGCUUGAAAUUAGCCAUUGUAGUAAAGUUUGUUACAAAAUAAUUCUUUUAGUAUAAAAAUUUUUAUAUUUUCUAUUCUAUCGUAUCAUAAAGGUAACAAAGAGAACUAAUAACUUAGUUUGCUUAUGCUAAAAUGAGUAUUUAUGAAUUAAUACAUAGGUAAACACUAAAAAAUACCUAUAACAACAUAGUUUUUUAAACUAAAAUAAAAAGAAGGAACUCGGCAAAUCUUAGCUUCGCCUGUUUAUCAAAAACAUGGCUCUUUGCUAACUUGGUAUAAAGAGUCGGACCUGCCCAGUGAGAUUUUUAACGGCCGCGGUACUCUGACCGUGCAAAGGUAGCAUAAUCAUUUGCCUUAUAAUUGGAGGCUGGUAUGAAUGGUUUAACGAAAGCAUUGCUGUCUCCUUUUUACUGAGUAGAAUUUGAUUUCUAGGUGAAGAAGCCUAGAUACAAUUGAAAGACAAAAAGACCCUGUCGAGCUUAAAAGCAAGUUGGAGAAAGAUUAUAUAAAAUAAUUUAGAUUUACUACCACACUAUUAUUUUUGGUUGGGGCGACCUGGGAACAAUGAAAGCUUCCUUUUUUAUUUUAACUUAUAAGUAACGAUCCAGCCUAAGCUGAUUAAAAGAAUUAGUUACCGCAGGGAUAACAGCAUAAUCUCUCUUGAGAGACCGAAUCGAAAGAAGAGGAUUGUGACCUCGAUGUUGGACUAGAAUAUCCUAAAGGUGCAGAAGUCU
rnacentral:rRNA from 1 species